AGCUCAUCAGAGGUUCAAUAGCUCACCAGAAGUUCACUACCACACCAGAUGUUUACUAGCUCACCAGAGGUUCACUAGCUCACCAGAGGUUCACUAGCUCACCAGAGAUUCACUAGCUCAGCAGAGGUUCAGAAGCUCACCAGAGGUUCACUAGCUCACCAGAGGUUUACUAGCUCACCAGUGGUUCACUAGCUCAUCAGAGGUUCACUAGCUCAUCAGAGGUUUACUAGCUCACCAGAUGUUCACUAGCUCACCAGAGGUUGACGAGCUCAUCAGAGGUUCACUAGCUCACCAGAGGUUCACUAGCUCACUAGAGGUUCACUAGCUCACCAGUUGUUCACUAGCCCACCAGUUGUUCACUAGCUCAC